UGCCAACUUCAUACAGUCACUAGAUUUCUUUUCUUGUAAGUCUCAAUAAAAAACAUUUUAUCAAAUAUUUCCGGCACUCGUCACAUGUGUGUUGACCUGAGGGAGCUACUGUAAUACCACACAAAUUUAAAUCCAUGAGAACAGUGCUCGUUAAAUGACAGAUUCACAGAAACACGCUUAACUUAAUUAUGCAUAGAAAACAUGCAUUUUGAAGAGCUCUUUCAGGUGUUGCUGAUGAUAUUCUAAAACCUGAGUAAAAGUUUGCAUUAUGCUACAAACUGCAGUUUCUCAAUGAGAAUGUGUUUUGUGUAGUUUGUCAUCACAGUGAAAACUGGCACAUCAUUUUGGCACUAUAAAAACAUUGUGCUUAUAGCACAUUGCACUUUUUAAAUAUCUGACCAGGUGAGGCGUGAUAUAGUGCAUACUAGUGCAAUAAUUGUCAAACUCAAAAGUCAGUUUGACUGAACUUGGUAGCAUAAAGUAUCACUGAGGAAAAAAUAUGUAUAAACUUAAUAAAUACAACUUUAUCAAUAAAUUUAAAAACAGCUGUUAGGAUGUAUCCAGAGUAAUAAGCACAUGUUACACAAACACACCACAUCUGUGUCUAAUAAUUCAUGCACCGUUGUACACAUAAAACUCACACAUAGUCUAUCAUAUAUUUCAAUGUGUUGUAUGUGAGUCAUCAUUAAUUUUUUAAAUAACUGUGUUAAAGUCAGAUGAAAUCCAAAAUUAACAGAUACAGACUUGAAAUGUUUAAAUGUCAGAAUUUAAAGGUGUAAACUUUAGAGAUGCUGGAUCCUGAAAAUCAAGAUCAGUCGGUUCUUUCAAAUCUCUUCAGAAUCUGAAAGGGCAUGCUCAAAAGCUGUCAAAAUUUUUAAUUAGCAAUAUUAUGGGUUUAAUAUUGUGCGUAUUGAAAGCUAUUUAUUUAUCUAUUUUUUUAAAGAUUUAAAAUACUAAUUAAUUUAUCAUUUUAAGUUAGGCCCUCACAUUUUUUAAAGGGGCAAUAUUAUGUACUUUCCUGCAUAGUGUCAUAUUCCAGUUGAAACCAUUCCCACUGGUGGAACUGAAUACAUAUUGUAGACCGCCUCACUCAAACUCACCUUUUCAGAUCUACUCACACCUUGUGGGUCUGAGACCGGAGGGCUGUUUCACAAAAGUAGGAUUACCAAAUCCAGGAUAAAAUAUAGAGCUAUGCUUGACAUAGCACCAUCAGUUCAUCCUGGCUUUAUCUGUUUCACAAAGACCAAACCAGGCACAGGAGGUGCAGCUAUGUUGGCCCAGACUUGAGUAAUUCAGGUCUCCACAGAUUUCUUCAGCAGACCAUGAGAUCAAUCACAGAUUCACUGAUGCUAUGGUUGCCAGAUAAAUUGCAUAUGCCAUGCAUCACACCAAACAAAGAUCAAACAAAGAUCUUUUGAUUGAGGAUUAUGAGGAAUUGAAGCACAUCACACAAAAGGAAAAUAAACCACUGCU